GGCGAGCGGCUGGUUUGGAUUCCCGCUCACGGCCACCGUCAGUGGCGAGCGAAAACUUCUGAAGCGGCGGCUCGCUGGGCCUCCUCUAGGUCGACUCAGCCUGAAGGCGGAUGUCUCAGAUUGCCAGCACCAUGUGAUGGGAGCUCCAGGGCAUGCUGCGUGCUCGCCAGGAGGGGCUGGGCAAGAUGGCGUAGUCGCUGGAGCAGCUGCGGGCGCGGCACCGCCGCUCUCACCCUGGCGGAGUGCAGCAACACAGUGGGGCGGCACCAGCGGGACACUCUGGACAACGCAGCCAAGCUGUUGCCCCGCUCGCCCGACUCGUUGAGAGGCUUGCCCACCCCCCAGGGCGUUGUCGUGAAGAUACCGCUGGGAGGAAGAAUAUCUCACAAUACUGGAAGAGGUGCACUGAGUUUUCCCUCUGCAUUGAGAAUAAACUUGCAUUCAGAGGAUUUGGCUGCAAUGCAUGUGUAAGUGGUAAGUCACUUUGUUUACCUGUAAUUUGUAACAAGGUCGCUUUUGAAAAAGAUCUAUAUAGCUCUGUGGGCCUUAGCUGGUACAAUGAGAAAUAGUUCAGUUUUCGUUUAUUGGGUGGGUGAGUGGUUGAUGGGUGAUUGAUUGAG